GAUGAAGAACGUAGCGAAAUGCGAUAAGUAAUGUGAAUUGCAGAAUUCAGUGAAUCAUCGAAUCUUUGAACGCACCUUGCGCCCUUUGGCCAUUCCGAAGGGCAUGCCUGUUUGAGUAUCAUGAACACCUCAACUCUUCAUGGUUUUCCGUGAUGAGCUUGGACUUUGGGGGUCUUGCUGGCCUAUGGUCAGCUCCUCUAAAAUAAAUCAGGUUGCCAGUGUUUGGUGGGUAUCACAGGUGUGAUAACUAUCUACGCUUGUGGUUUUCCACCAGGUAACCUUCAGCAGUGGAGGUUCGCUGGAGCUCACAGAUGUGUCUCUCCUCAGUGAGGACAGCUCUUUGAAUGUUUGAUCUCAAAUCAGGUAGGACUACCCGCUGAACUUAAGCAUAUCAAUAAGCGGAGGA
rnacentral:misc_RNA from 1 species